rnacentral:snRNA from 1 species
GAUUAUAUCAUCAUCAGC